UAGCGAGCGUUGACAAGUUUGACAAUAUAUGUAUGUACUCGGCAAAAUGUUCAACCUCGAACGGCCGAUAUUUACGCACGCCUGUGGCGCGCGGUGAAUGGGACGAAAUUGUGUAAAAAUCGAAGAACUUCCGCUCGAAUGACCGAAUUCACUUCAUGGGACUAGACAAUCGUGCAUAAGAGACACGUAUAAAUAUAAAUUGUUAUCUUAAUUUGUUAAUGCAUCUGAAUUAAUUUGUAAAAUGAGAA